rnacentral:lncRNA from 1 species
UGUGUGUAUAUGUUUGUGUGCUAGUCAGUGGGUGUGUGUAGUGUGUCUCUAUGUUUGUGUUAAAUCAGUGUGUGUGUAUAUGUUUGUGUGUUAGUCAGUGUGUAUAUAUGUUUGUGUUAGUGUGUGUAUUUGUUUGUUUGUUAGUCCAUGUGUGUGUGUAGUGUGUAAGUGUACAUUUGUUUGUGUUAGUCAGAGUGUAGUGUGUGUUAGUCAGUGUGUGUGUGUUUGUGUGUAUGAGAGAGUGUGUAUGUAUGGGUGUUUGUGUGAGUGUGUGUGUGAGAGUACCUGUCCGCUCCUCCACUCUCUCUCUCUCUCUCCGGCUCAGAGCACUUCCUGCCUGCCCGCUGCAGCGCGAUGGCGGUUCCCGAGCGGCGGGCUGACGGAGAGCAGAGAGCCGGACAGGGUGAGCUGUGAGCGGUGGAGCAGAAGCAGGUUGUAGGGGUGUAACAGUACAGAAACGAUUUGGUUCCAAUAGACUGCAUGCAUUUACGUGUACUGAACCAUGACCCUGUACCGUGAAGGUCAUGAGUGCCUUGAGGAGAACGCCUGUGGAGAACAGCCUCACCUGGACCUCAGCUGUCUACCAAAAGCUAGCAGCGCAGUAUGACGUCUGAUGCGGAGCAGGAUGCUGCAGUGAAGCUGGAUCAGGAGCGGGCUGAGAUCGUAGCCAGAUAUGACAAGGGUAAGGAAGGUGCGGCGGUGGAGUCGUGGGAGGAGGCAAACUAUGACCUGUAUAAAGUGGUGGACCGGUUCGGCUUCCUACAUCAGGAUGAACUUCCAGCCUAUAACUCCUUGGAGGAAAGGCAAAAGCAUGUUGAACUGGAAAGGACAGAAAAGUGGGUGAAGAUGCUGAAAAGCUGGGACAAGUACAAGAACAGCGAAAAGAUGGUAAGGAGGAUCUAUAAGGGAAUUCCGCUGCAGCUCCGGGGCCAGGUGUGGUGUUUGCUCCUCGACAUUCCCAAAAUCAGGGAGGAGAAGAAGGACUUCUAUGAGAUGAUCAAUGAGGUGUGUGUGUGUGUGUGUGUUUUCAGGCAGCAGGACCUGUUCCACGUCCUCACGGCGUACUCCAUGUAUAACAGGGAAGUGGGAUACUGUCAGGGAAUGAGUCAGAUCACAGCUCUCCUCCUGAUCUAUAUGAAUGAAGAGGAUGCGUUUUGGGCUCUGGUCAAACUACUGUCUGGACACAGGCACACCAUGCACGGAUUUUUUGUGGAUGGUUUUCCAAAGCUCUUACGCUUCCAGGAGCACCACGACCGCAUCCUGAAGAAGAUGAUGCCCAAGCUGAAGCAGCAUCUAGACAGUCAGGAGGUUUUCACCAGCCUGUACACCAUGAAGUGGUUCUUUCAGUGCUUUCUGGACCGUACCCCAUUCACAUUAACCCUUAGGAUAUGGGACAUUUACAUCCUGGAGGGGGAGCGAGUUCUGCCUGCCAUGUCCUACACCAUCCUCAAACUGCACAAAAAAACGCUGUUGAAGCUGUCUAUGGAGGAUCUGGUGGAGUUCCUGCAGGUGACUCUGUCGAAGGAAUUCUUCUUUGAAGAUGAUUUUGUAGUCGAGCAGCUCCAGAACAACAUGACUGAACUCAGACGCUCCAAACUCGAGCUUCCUCCAGCAGGUAAAGAUGAUGAGUUUCCGAAGAAGCCAUUGGGUCAGCUACCCCUGGAUCCGGCAGAAGCUGCCAAUCACGUUGCUAACGGGCAGAUGCCAGCCAGGCAGACGGUGGCAGACGGGCCGUCUGUUUUAGGCAUAGAAACGGGCGAAACUGCGAAUGGCUCACCAGAUCCCCACAGAGACAGUCGGCCGGCCAGCCGCGCUGGGAAAGACAGAGACUCUGCGGACAAAAUAAGCCGAACGGGGAAAGGCGAUAAACGAGAGGGGCGGAAAGGAGCUUCGGUGAUGCCGGCAACCCUGGGAACAGGCCUAACACCUGAGAAACACGGGCCCAACCAUGCUGGAGCCAAUCACAACUCAAACGCCGGCUCAAGCGGGCGCAAAGACGUCAUCACACCCCGCUGGGUCAAACCUUCGGAGAGCAAGCUGGAGCAGGCCAAAGCUGCUGCCUUGAGAGAGAGCCAGCAGAGCCUGACCACUGUCGUUCCUCCGUCACCCACCAUCAAGCAGCGACAACCCAGGUCUAGAGGUUUCACCCCUGGCUCCAACCGUGCCUCCAACGCCUCUCAAUACGACAACGUCCCAGGACCCAACGGAGAUUUCACUGAUGUUCCAGAGGUGGAACCAGACCGGCCACCUUCUCGUCCGUAUGGCUCUAAACAGGGAAGCCCAACAAGGCCCCCUAGUGGUGGAAUGGGAAUCUCCGCCCCGUCGUUCCGAGUCCCAAAACACACUCCAAUCCCACCCACCUCCGACAUCCGCCCACCAAUACACUACACUCCUGGCAUGACCCCUGUCUACUCCCCUUAUACAUCCAAAGUGCGCCCCCCAGAGGACAGAGGGUACGGGAUGACGUACGGCGAAAGGGCAUACAGUACCACGUCCCGAAUUUCGCCUGAGAAAAUAAAUCGCUCGCCAGAAAAAGGGCCGAUGAACAACAGCUAUGCUACCUACCGACAUCAAGCUAGAGAUGUUACCCCACUCCACGUGGCUCCUGCUGACUUUGGAGCUCGAAUGGACAACGUUGGAGCCAGGAUGGACAAUUUUGGAGGCCGAAUGGACCAUGUUGGACCCCGCAUUGACACUAUUGGACCUCGUAUGGACAAUUUUGGAGCCAGAAUAGAAAAUGUUGGAGGCCGUAUGGACAACAUUGGACCCCGAAUGGAUAAUAUGAGACUCCGAAUGGAAAACACCGGAGCAAGGAUGGACAGCACCAGCGAAAUCGGACACCACCCGAGACAGCCAACGCGGCUUUUAGGGUCCCCUGCUUUCACGCCAGCCGAGCAGCGAUUCGAAAGGCAGCGGCGAGGUGAAGGCUGGUAUGGAGAGAUGGCGGAGGGAGUGAUGGUGGGGCCUCUGCAUUCUCCAGGUGGGUUACCCCGCUCGCCCAGCUUCCAGAAAGCCCAGAUGUCUCCCGUCCACCCGGUCCAAGAGUUCACCUUCCCACCUGUGGGUGUCCCACGGCCCACUCUGUUUGGAGGAUCUCACUACAGACAGGCUCAGGAAGCCUUUGCCCUACAGGAAACCAUGCUGCUCUGA